rnacentral:rRNA from 1 species
GAUGAACGCUGGCGGCGUGCCUAAUACAUGCAAGUCGAGCGAACGGACGAGAAGCUUGCUUCUCUGAUGUUAGCGGCGGACGGGUGAGUAACACGUGGAUAACCUACCUAUAAGACUGGGAUAACUUCGGGAAACCGGAGCUAAUACCGGAUGAUAUUUUGAACCGCAUGGUUCAAAAGUGAAAGACGGUCUUGCUGUCACUUAUAGAUGGAUCCGCGCUGCAUUAGCUAGUUGGUAAGGUAACGGCUUACCAAGGCAACGAUGCAUAGCCGACGUGAGAGGGUGAUCGGCCACACUGGAGCGGAGACACGGUCCAGACUCCUACGGGAGGCAGCAGUAGGGAAUCUUCCGCAAUGGGCGAAAGCCUGACGGAGCAACGCCGCGUGAGUCAUGAAGGUCUUCGGAUCGUAAAACUCUGUUAUUAGGGAAGAACAGAUGUGUAAGUAACUGUGCACAUCUUGACGGUACCUAAUCAGAAAGCCACGGCUAACUACGUG